GAUGAACGCUGGCGGCGUGCCUAAUACAUGCAAGUCGAGCGAAUGGAUUAAGAGCUUGCUCUUAUGAAGUUAGCGGCGGACGGGUGAGUAACACGUGGGUAACCUGCCCAUAAGACUGGGAUAACUCCGGGAAACCGGGGCUAAUACCGGAUAACAUUUUGAACCGCAUGGUUCGAAAUUGAAAGGCGGCUUCGGCUGUCACUUAUGGAUGGACCCGCGUCGCAUUAGCUAGUUGGUGAGGUAACGGCUCACCAAGGCAACGAUGCGUAGCCGACCUGAGAGGGUGAUCGGCCACACUGGGACUGAGACACGGCCCAGACUCCUACGGGAGGCAGCAGUAGGGAAUCUUCCGCAAUGGACGAAAGUCUGACGGAGCAACGCCGCGUGAGUGAUGAAGGCUUUCAGGUCGUAAAACUCUGUUGUUAGGGAAAAACAAGUGCUAGUUGAAUAAGCUGGCACCUUGACGGUACCUAACCAGAAAGCCACGGCUAACUACGUGCCAGCCGCCGCGGUAA
rnacentral:rRNA from 1 species